UACGGAGGGUGCAAGCGUUAUCCGGAUUUACUGGGUUUAAAGGGUGCGUAGGCGGACAGGUAAGUCAGUGGUGAAAUCCCCGAGCUCAACUUGGGAACUGCCGUUGAUACUAUCUGUCUUGAAUACCGUGGAGGUGAGCGGAAUAUGUCAUGUAGCGGUGAAAUGCUUAGAUAUGACAUAGAACACCGAUUGCGAAGGCAGCUGACGAAACUGUAACUGACGCUGAUGCACGAAAGCGUGGGGAUCAAACAGG
rnacentral:rRNA from 1 species